CGCACACCAAUACGGACUGAAUGCCAUUCACUGUUUAUGCUGCAGGUUAUGCUCUGCAAAUGUUUAUGUUAUACAAGAAGAGCCAAAACCAAUGUGCCAAACCCAGGGUCGAGGUAAAUUAUGGACGCAAUUCCAAGUACUUGCCAAAGGGGCACCCGGAUUUGAAAGGAAGAGCCAAAUUCAAUGGGCCAAACCGAGGGUGGCGGUAAAUUACAGACACAAUUCCAAGGAUUCGACAAAGGAGGCAGCUGGAUUAGAAUCAGGGACCUCUGGAUUUGCAGUCAAGUGCUCUACCACUGAGCUAUACCCUCAUGAAACAAUUACGAGAUCAAGUCAUUAACCAAGAGGACAAACUCGUCAAAGCAAAACUCACUUUCCCUUGGCUUAUUUCCUUUUUAUCAUGGGUCAUCACAGCGGAAUGAACUAACAAUUCCUGUGGUACAUGCUUUUUUCACCAGAUGCUCUUCCAUGCAGAAUUUCAUCUAAUUGACCGGUGCACCUGAAGAAAACCCAUGCAAACAUGGGGUGAACAUGCAAACUCCACACCUGGGACUCGAACCAGUGACCUUCUUGCUGUGAGGCGACAGUGCUAACCAUGAAGCCACCAUGCCACCUUAUAUUGUAUUCACAUUAUAUUAGUGACAGUUUUCCCUUCAUGGUAUUUCAGUAAAUAAUUGUUAUUUUAUAUAAUUGACAAUAAAUUGUUUGUAUUUA